rnacentral:rRNA from 1 species
GUGCUGCAUGGCCGUCGUCAGCUCGUGUCGUGAGAUGUUUGGUUAAGUCCAGCAACGAGCGCAACCCCUGUUGCCAGUUACCAGCACGUGAAGGUGGGGACUCUGGCGAGACUGCCCAGAUCAACUGGGAGGAAGGUGGGGACGACGUCAGGUCAGUAUGGCCCUUAUGCCCAGGGCUGCACACGUACUACAAUGCCCAGUACAGAGGGGGCCGAAGCCGCGAGGCGGAGGAAAUCCUAAAAACUGGGCCCAGUUCGGACUGUAGGCUGCAACCCGCCUACAUGAAGCCGGAAUCGCUAGUAAUGGCGCAUCAGCUACGGCGCCGUGAAUACGUUCCCGGGUCUUGUACACACCGCCCGUCACAUCAUGGAAGCCGGUCGCACCCGAAGUAUCUGAAGCCAACCGCAAGGAGGCAGGGUCCUAAGGUGAGACUGGUAACUGGGAUGAAGUCGUAACAAGGUAGCCGUAGGGGAACCUGCGGCUGGAUCACCUC